GACGAACGCUGGCGGCGUGCCUAAUACAUGCAAGUAGAACGCUGAAGGAGGAGCUUGCUCUUCUGGAUGAGUUGCGAACGGGUGAGUAACGCGUAGGUAACCUGCCUGGUAGCGGGGGAUAACUAUUGGAAACGAUAGCUAAUACCGCAUAAGAGUAGAUGUUGCAUGACAUUUACUUAAAAGGUGCAAUUGCAUCACUACCAGAUGGACCUGCGUUGUAUUAGCUAGUUGGUGGGGUAACGGCUUACCAAGGCGACGAUACAUAGCCGACCUGAGAGGGUGAUCGGCCACACUGGGACUGAGACACGGCCCAGACUCCUACGGGAGGCAGCAGUAGGGAAUCUUCGGCAAUGGACGGAAGUCUGACCGAGCAACGCCGCGUGAGCGAAGAAGGUUUUCGGAUCGUAAAGCUCUGUUGUAAGAGAAGAACGAGUGUGAGAGUGGAAAGUUCACACUGUGACGGUAUCUUACCAGAAAGGGACGGCUAACUACGUG
rnacentral:rRNA from 1 species